ACAUGCAAGUCGAACGAAGUAGCAAUACUUAGUGGCAGACGGGUGAGUAACAUGUAGGUAUCUGCCCUAUGGCCUGGAAUAACACGAGGAAACUUGUGCUAAUACCGGAUAAGUCUUUACAGAGAAAGCUUUAUGCACCAUUGGAUGAGCCUGCACUUGAUUAGUUUGUUGGUGGGGUAAUGGCCUACCAAGACUUUGAUCAAUAGCUGAUUUGAGAGGAUGAUCAGCCACAUUGGGACUGAGACACGGCCCAAACUCCUACGGAAGGCAGCAGUGGGGAAUCUUGCACAAUGGAGGAAACUCUGAUGCAGCGAUGCCGCGUGAGUGAAGAAGGCCUUUGGGUUGUAAAGCUCUUUCGUCGGGGAAGAAAAUGACUGUACCCGAAUAAGAAGGUCCGGCUAACUUCGUGCCAGCAGCCGCGGUAAUACGAAGGGACCUAGCGUAGUUCGGAAUUACUGGGCUUAAAGAGUUCGUAGGUGGUUGAAAAAGUUGGUGGUGAAAUCCCAGAGCUUAACUCUGGAACUGCCAUCAAAACUUUUCAGCUAGAGUAUGAUGGAGGAAAGCAGAAUUUCUAGUGUAGAGGUGAAAUUCGUAGAUAUUAGAAAGAAUACCAAUUGCGAAGGCAGCUUUCUGGAUCAUUACUGACACUGAGGAACGAAAGCACGGGUAGCGAAGAGGAUUAGAUACCCUCGUAGUCCAUGCCGUAAACGAUGUGUGUUAGACGUUGGAAAUUUAUUUUCAGUGUCGCAGCGAAAGCGAUAAACACACCGCCUGGGGAGUACGACCGCAAGGUUAAAACUCAAAUGAAUUGACGGGGACCCGCACAAGUAGUGGAGCAUGUGGUUUAAUUCGAAGAUACGCGCAGACCUUACCAACACUUGACAUGUUCGUCGCGACUUUAAGAGAUUAAAGUUUCGGUUCGGCCGACGAAACACAGGUGCUGCAUGCCUGUCGUCAGCUCGUGUCGUGAGAUGUUGGGUUAGUCCCGCAACGAGCGCAACCCUCACUUUUAGUGCAUCAUUAGUUGGGCCUCUUGAAGACUGCAGUGAUAGCUGAGAGGUGGGGAUGACGUCAGUCUCAUGCCCUUACUGUUGGCUAACACGUGCUUAG
rnacentral:rRNA from 1 species